GAUGAACGCUGGCGGUAUGCUUAACACAUGCAAGUCGAACGGACUCUUCGGAGUUAGUGGCGGACGGGUGAGUAACGCGUGAGAAUCUGGCUUUGGGUUCGGGACAACCACUGGAAACGGUGGCUAAUACCGGAUGUGCCGAGAGGUAAAAGAGAAAUUGCCUGAAGAUGAGCUCGCGUCUGAUUAGCUAGUUGGUGAGGUAAAGGCUCACCAAGGCAGCGAUCAGUAGCUGGUCUGAGAGGAUGACCAGCCACACUGGGACUGAGACACGGCCCAGACGCCUACGGGAGGAAGCAGUGGGGAAUUAUCCGCAAUGGGCGGAAGCCUGACGAAGCAAUACCGCGUGAGGGAAGAAGACUCUUGGGGUGUAAAACUCUUUUCUUAGGGAAGAACAAAAUGACGGUACCUGAGGAAUCAGCAUCGGCUAACUCCGUG
rnacentral:rRNA from 1 species